rnacentral:rRNA from 1 species
AGAGUUUGAUCAUGGCUCAGGACGNNNGCUGGCGGCGUGCUUAACACAUGCAAGUCGGCGGAAGGCCCUUCGGGGUACUCGAGCGGCGAACGGGUGAGUAACACGUGAGUAACCUGCCCUGGACUUUGGGAUAACCCUCGGAAACGGGGGCUAAUACCGGAUACGACACACUGACGCAUGUUGUGUGUGUGGAAAGUUUUUCGGUCUGGGAUGGGCUCGCGGCCUAUCAGCUUGUUGGUGGGGUGAUGGCCUACCAAGGCGACGACGGGUAGCCGGCCUGAGAGGGCGACCGGCCACACUGGGACUGAGACACGGCCCAGACUCCUACGGGAGGCAGCAGUGGGGAAUAUUGCACAAUGGGCGGAAGCCUGAUGCAGCGACGCCGCGUGAGGGAUGACGGCCUUCGGGUUGUAAACCUCUUUCAGCAGGGACGAAGCGCAAGUGACGGUACCUGCAGAAGAAGCGCCGGCCAACUACGUGCCAGCAGCCGCGGUAAGACGUAGGGCGCGAGCGUUGUCCGGAUUUAUUGGGCGUAAAGAGCUCGUAGGCGGCUUGUCGCGUCGACCGUGAAAACUUGGGGCUCAACCCCAAGCCUGCGGUCGAUACGGGCAGGCUCGAGUUCGGUAGGGGAGACUGGAAUUCCUGGUGUAGCGGUGAAAUGCGCAGAUAUCAGGAGGAACACCGGUGGCGAAGGCGGGUCUCUGGGCCGAUACUGACGCUGAGGAGCGAAAGCGUGGGGAGCGAACAGGAUUAGAUACCCUAGUAGUCC